CUGUGCUCCUCGAAGAUCAGCUUCUACUUGCUCCUCCAGCACAUUGAUCAUGAGCUGGAGGUGGAUGGAGGGGAAGAGAUGCAAGUUCAGGCUUUAGCAGAACUUUUAUAUGUUGGUUUUGUUGAUCAGUGAAGAGAUGAUGGGAGAUCACAGAAUCACAGGGUGUGCUCAGUUGGAAGGCACCCACAGGGAUCACCGAGGUAUAAAACUGUGUUUGAGAUGUUUCAAUGAUGUUCUGAGCUGAUGUUCAGAAAAGAACAAUUCAGACUGACUGCUAGUGCAAGCACCCCUAU